rnacentral:rRNA from 11 species
CUGGAGGUAUCAGAAGUGCGAAUGCUGACAUAAGUAACGAUAAAGCGGGUGAAAAGCCCGCUCGCCGGAAGAUCAAGGGUUCCUGUCCAACGUUAAUCGGGGCAGGGUGAGUCGACCCCUAAGGCGAGGCCGAAAGGCGUAGUCGAUGGGAAACAGGUUAAUAUUCCUGUACUUGGUGUUACUGCGAAGGGGGGACGGAGAAGGCUAUGUUAGCCGGGCGACGGUUGUCCCGGUUUAAGCGUGUAGGCGGAGGGUCCAGGUAAAUCCG